GAUGAACGCUGGCGGCGUGCCUAAUACAUGCAAGUCGAGCGAACAGAUAAGGAGCUUGCUCCUUUGACGUUAGCGGCGGACGGGUGAGUAACACGUGGGUAACCUACCUAUAAGACUGGGAUAACUUCGGGAAACCGGAGCUAAUACCGGAUAACAUUUGGAACCGCAUGGUUCUAAAGUGAAAGAUGGUUUUGCUAUCACUUAUAGAUGGACCCGCGCCGUAUUAGCUAGUUGGUAAGGUAACGGCUUACCAAGGCGACGAUACGUAGCCGACCUGAGAGGGUGAUCGGCCACACUGGAACUGAGACACGGUCCAGACUCCUACGGGAGGCAGCAGGAGGGAAUCUUCCGCAAUGGGCGAAAGCCUGACGGAGCAACGCCGCGUGAGUGAUGAAGGGUUUCGGCUCGUAAAACUCUGUUAUUAGGGAAGAACAAACGUGUAAGUAACUGUGCAUGUCUUGACGGUACCUAAUCAGAAAGCCACGGCUAACUACGUGCCAGCAGCCGCGGUAA
rnacentral:rRNA from 1 species